UACAGAGGUGCUCAAGCGUUGUUCGGAUUCAUUGGGCGUAAAGGGUGCGUAGGCGGCGCGGUAAGUCGGGUGUGAAAUUUCGAGGCUUAACUUCGAAACUGCAUUCGAUACUGACCGUGCUUGAGGACUGGAGAGGAGACUGGAAUUUACGGUGUAGCGGUGAAAUGCGUAGAUAUCAGGAGGAACACCGGUGGCGAAGGCGGCUCUCGUGGACGGUGACUGACGCUGAGACGCGAAAGCGUGGGGAGCAAACAGG
rnacentral:rRNA from 1 species